GGAAGAGAAAUUUCGUACAUACUAUUUUAAAAUUAAAAACAUUUUCAUCAGUUUAUAAUUUUUAUUGCAAAUUGCAGUUAAAUUUUAUAAUUUUUACACAACAGUCAACAUAUGAGAAUUGAGUUGGGCCAUUUGGAUGCAACUUGCAAAUGUCAAGUUGGAAGUGAUUUAAGCCUGGUUCUCACAAUGAUACUGAUGUUGUGACAUUAAGUUGCUUGAUAUUGUUCAAAAUUCAAUGCCACAGUCCCAAGUGUUAUAUGCUGUUCAUACUAAUGUGUGUAGACACUUAAUGCCGCAAGGUUUGUUUUGUUUUUGGCCACCUAUGUUUGAUGCAGUCAUACCCAUACAAUUAUUAUAUUGAUCAAAAAAAAAGAUAAUGGGUUAGGAUAUAGAUAAUGCGAAGGGAUACUUUAGGUGCAUCAAAAACAUUACUAAAGUAGUUAGGUUCGAGUAGGCUUUACUACACUUGUAUGUUGUAAUGUACAAUGCACUACAUUUUAAAUUCUAAGUAAACUGAGGAAUUUAUUGGUUUAACAAUGAUUUUUUUUUUUCUUAUGAACAACUUUUCUACUAGAAAUGUUGAUCCAAUUUCAAAGUCUAGCAUCGUUUCUGAAAGCUAAUUUUUUUGAGGUUGUACUUUAAGGAGGUCAUUUUUAGAUUUUAUUAACAGCUUUCAUAAUAAAAUGAAAAAACGUAGUGAAAAUACAGAUAGUUAUGUACUCAAAUAUCAUUAGUGUGCCUAAUUACAAUAAUAUUAAAAUAAAAAGUAACCAAUUUAAAUUCAUGUUACUCAUAAUAAUUAAUUUUGUAUAUUUAAAUUUAAAAAAAUUAAAUAAAAAGUGAAAUUAACAAUGUAAUUGUUUUUUUAAGUCAUAAAUUAAUAAAAUUAUUAAAUAUAAAAUUCUUCCUUCUCCAUCAUAGCAUAUGGAUUAUUAUCUAAAAAAAACGAUGCAUAUUUUAAAACAUUAAAAUUGUAAAUAAAUUCAACUAAUAAAAAUAAAAUAAUAGUUAUUUACCAAUUAUCACUUCUGGUUCAAAUAAUUCUGCAUCGAUAAUUUCUAAAACAAUUAUAUUUCAAAAUAUAUUAUGUACUAAAUUAUAUUUAUUUGUUGACACAUUGUUAUUGUUAACACACAGUGUUUCAAAUAUAAAUACAUAUUUACAUUUUAAUAGAGGUACUUUUCAAGAAAUUAGUACAUUUCCCCUCAUUUUCAAUUGUUUAUCUCUAAAAUUACACCCAAUACCCUGAAAAAGGUUCUUAUAGAGACCUAUAUGAUAAUUACCUAAGUAGUGUGUGUGUGUGUCUGUGUGCAAAAUUACAAUUAUUUUCAAAUAAAAAAAUAAUUAUGUUAAAUUAAUUGACUGUAAUGUCAAAUUUGGAAGACCCUGUAUAAUGUAUAUUACAAAUAAAAUGGAUAAAUAUCUGGUGAUUCCUUAAGAAUUUAGUCAGGGAUAUUGGACAUCUUUUCAAUCCCAUUGUCUGAAUCUGAUAUUAGUAAUCAUAAAUAUUCUUAAAUAGGUGUAGAUAGUUUUUAAUAAUUCCAUUCAUAUUAAUAUAUUUUAAGACCCUGGUUAUUAUAAUUUUUAAUUUAUUAUUUAUUAUAUAAAUUUCAGACCUGCGCAUAGUGAAACCAGAAAGAUGUCACAUGAGCCUCAGGAUAUAUAUAUCACUAAAUACUUGAUGAAGUGUAGUUUCAAAAUCGAUCAUAAUUUUAGAAAAUUUUGAUUUGAAUCUUUUCAACACUUUGCAAUAUGUGGCUUCAUUCUUCGAUUCCAUAAAUAAGUAACAGACAGGUAUAGACUAAAAAAAUAUUUACAAAAUAUGUGACUAAUAUAUAUAAAUAUAAUUGUUACAUUGAAAUUAUUUUAUUUUAUUCUACAUGAUUAUGCAGGAUCAUAUGAAUAACAAAUAACUGUCUACAAUGUGGCAUAAGCGUUAUAUCUGCAUGCAGUUCAACAACACCUAGUACUACUGCACUUAUUCAAUCAUGGCAACCAAACAUUAUACUGAACUUAACAUCCCAAUCUAUCAUCCACUCUUGGUAAAAUGCAUCAUUGUUGCAUCUAUAUAUAAGUGCGUGAGGUAAAACUAUAUUAAGAAAACAUUUUCAAGUUUCAACCACAUUUAUUUAUUUUACAUACAUAUAUGCAUUAUUAUCCAAGUAUUCGUCUAAUUUUCAUAAUGUGGAUGGUAAACGUGGAGUUGACUUCUUACAAGCAUGACAGCAUGACGACUCAGUAGUUGGCUAACUAUACAUGACUGCUGCUUAUGGAUUUCUGUAAAAUUUAAGAUAAAGUUUAUAUCUUUGUGGCUAAUUCAAUACAAUAAUUUAUUAUAUUUACCUAAUUGAUCCCUCAUCAUAAAUUACUUUAAGUGGAGUGGUCUCAGUUUUUGAUCUGUCAACUAGUGCAUUUCUAAAUCUUUGUUUUAAUUGGAAUUCAGCUAAGUACGGUCCAUACACUAUAUGCCGAUAAAGUUUCAAUUAUUUUUGUAUUGUGCCAUUUGUUAACUUGAUUGAUGUAUUAUCACAAUAAACGUUGGAAAUGGAACAGGUAUAAUAACUAUAAGUAAAAUGAUGUAUUGUAAUGUAUGAAUGUAUGUACAUUCUAUGUAUCAUAGAAUGUAGUUAAGUGGACUAGAUAAAUUUUGUCAAAAGCUAUUUGUUUAAAUUACCUAGUUUUCCUCUUUGUUGUAUAUUUUUAAAUUAUAUUUACGUUACACCAUUUUGCAUUUUGUUGAUUUUAUAGCGAAACCCUUUGUGUUGAAUUUAAAUUUUAAUAUUUAAUAUUAAUGUAGGUAUUGCGAUAUAUUCAUGAUGUAGAGUGAAGUAAAAAAGAGGAUAAGUUAUAGCAUAUUAGAUAGGCAUGAGUUACAAUAAUAUUAUCCUAGUGGAUAAAGUAAAUAUUAACAUUUUAAUAAAUAAUUUAAAAUAAUAAAAUAAUAAUAAUUAAUAAAAAUACUGGAGAAAAACUGAGAAAUAGGUUGUUUUGUAACCUAGUUUCAAUCAAUUUUCUGUGUGUCGGUCCUGUCCUAUUAGGAUUAUCAGAUUUAUCGUAUUUAUUAUGUAUAUUUAUGUAAAUAUGAGAAUUUGUUCUUCAGUCAGACUUUGAAUUUCGUGUAGCGUGUCGGCUAAAAGAAUACUAUUAGUUCUGUUAUUGUUUUGUAAAUAUGUCGAAAAUUGAG